rnacentral:misc_RNA from 1 species
GCAGCGUCACUUAUAACGACCAACCGUAUUCCAAGUGGCUGAAAGGACGGAUUGGCUUUGUGCUGCAAGAUGAUGUCGCAUUUCCGCACCUGACAGUGAGAGAAACGUUAACAUACACGGCUCUCCUUUGACUUCCCAAUAUACAAACAAAGCAACAAAAGGAAGAAAGAGCUAUGAGUGUUAUCUCUGAGCUCGGCCUUGAAAGGUGCCAAGAUAUGCUAAUUGGAGGAGCAUUAGUUAGAGGAAUUUCUGGAGGUGAAAGGAAAAGGGUUUGCAUUGGCAA